rnacentral:rRNA from 1 species
AUGCUAGAACGUACUAUGGUAAUUGUUAGUUUCAUUAGUAUUUCUUGGCAAACCAUCGUUCUUUCUUGGUCUGCUGAAAAUAAUUGUCAUCAAUUUUUCUUUACAUUGCCUAUAAAGAAAGUGAAGGGGAGCCUUGGCGCAGUGGUAAAGCUGCUGCCUUGUGACCAUGAGGUCAUGGGUUCAAGUCCUGGAAACAGCCUCUUACAGAAAUGUAGGGAAAGGCUGCGUACUAUAGACCCAAAGUGGUCGGACCCUUCCCUGGACCCUGCGCAAGCGGGAGCUACAUGCACCAGGUUGCCCUUUUUUGCCUAUAAAGAAAGUGAUGUUUUUAAGAGAUAUUUCUGUAACAUGAGCAGUUAUGUUCCUUCUCGUUACUUUAACUCUUCAGUACGUAUAUACUGGUGCUUGCUUCUUAUAUCCCAUAUAUUGUUGAAUUAUGUGCUUGUGAGGCAAAACGGUCAUGGCGGUCCUGCACAAGUGGUGAACGACUGGAAGGGGCGGCACCACGACGGUCAAGGUGGUUCAUACCCAGCCGGGGAGGACGACGCACUGCGAUGGGCACGGAAAGAUGUUGCAGCAGCGAAUGAGGAGGCGGAGAUGCACAAAGGAGAGGAGGAAAAGCGCGCUCUGGUACUAAUCCAAGCCCGCCGGCGACUCCCCCAUAUAGUACGAGUUUGUUACCCCCUGCCGCGGGGAAAGAAUAUUUGGAUGAUACAAGGGCUUAGAUUUUUCUGUUUGUACGUGCUCUUAUUGGGAUGA